UGGACCUCAGAUACACAGAACCCUGAGCCAGCAGAUGAUGGAAAGUGUGGGGUUCAGGACUUGUUCGCUCAGAGCAAUUUCUGUAACCAAAGAGUUGACUGGAGCUUGUUUUGCUUGGGGAAAAAAAAAAAAACUGCAGUCAUUGUCUGUCUCCAUUGUUUCUUCUGAGACCACGUGGGGGACUGAGCAGCAGGCUUUUCAUCUCCAAUUAUUUUCAGCCAAGGGAAAAAACAGAUGCUCUGUCUGCAGCCCAGCUCAGCCAGUCCCAAUGUCCAUCUGUUAGCUAGCGCUCUCGAGUGUCUACCAG
rnacentral:lncRNA from 1 species